rnacentral:rRNA from 1 species
CAAUAGCGUAUAUUAAAGUUGUUGCAGUUAAAAAGCUCGUAGUUGGAUUUGUGGCUGUCACGGGCGGCCUAUCACUUAGUGUUAGUGCUUGCCUGUGUCGCCAUCCUUGGGUGGAGCCCGUGUGGCAUUAGGUUGUCGUGCGGGGGAUGCCCAUCGUUUACUGUGAGAAAAUUAGAGUGUUCAAAGCAGGCUUAUGCCGUUGAAUAUGUUAGCAUGGAAUAAUAAGAUAGGACCUCGGUACUAUUUUGUUGGUUUGCGCACCGAGGUAACGAUUAAUAGGGACAGUUGGGGGUAUUCGUAUUUCAUUGUCAGAGGUGAAAUUCUUGGAUUUCUGAAAGACGAACUACUGCGAAAGCAUUUACCAAGGAUGUUUUCAUUAA